UAGUCUAGUGGUUAAGGCUAUGGACCGCCAAUCCGGAGACGGCGGGUUCAAUUCCCGU
rnacentral:tRNA from 1 species